rnacentral:lncRNA from 1 species
GGUGGGCUUAGAAGAUUUGCGUAACAGGAAGCUGCUGAAUAUUGGGCGGGUCCAGCAGGAGUUGCUCCCAGAAAUCCGCGGAAGUGACAGGAAGUUCCGCCCUCCCGCCUUUCUCCAUGUGUCUUGGCUUCCUCGCGUUCAGGAAGUCCUGGUGGGAGACUAGGCCUGAGUCCUCCAGGUACCUGAAAACUUCCUGGAGCUGCAGUUGCGGUGCCGGCUUCCUGGGACAUUCAUCAGCUCGUCCUGUCACCCUGCCAGGUCUCCAUAUGCUCAGAAAUUCUGCAUAAUUGUAAAUCAAAACUAAGAGCCCUGGAUGGUAAAGACCAAAGAGACUUCUAACAAAGGAUCCAGGUAUCACCACAGAAUACACUGUCAGUUUUCUUCUUCCUGAACUGAAAACCAAGAUUCACAAGAAAUAUGCUUCAUUAUGUAGAUACCUUUUUCAUCUGUUCUCACUUCCAGCAAGGAUUUUAUUGUGGACUUCUUUGAAGAUUGUUCAGUGAAUUUUUGCUCGUUGUGAGGUUGUGUUCCUUAGGACUUUUAAUUUGGAAGGUUUUGCUGGCCUUGUGAGUAGCAACUUACGGUUCACAUUGUUCUCCAUUCCUAGUGUGGGCUAGAGCUUUACUGUGUUGUUCAUGACGAAUCAUUCCUAGUUUUCAGGUACUCAUUCAUUCUUCACAAGAAAAGUUUUAUUUCCUAUGGCCU